GCCGUCGUAGCUCAGUGGUAGAGCACUUCCAUGGUAAGGAAGGGGUCUCGGGUUCAAAUCCCGAUGACGGCUCCA
rnacentral:tRNA from 2 species